rnacentral:rRNA from 1 species
AGUGAACGCUGGCGGUAGGCCUAACACAUGCAAGUCGAACGGCAGCACAGUAAGAGCUUGCUCUUACGGGUGGCGAGUGGCAGACGGGUGAGGAAUACAUCGGAAUCUACUUUUUCGUGGGGGCUAACGUAGGGAAACUUACGCUAAUACCGCAUACGACCUACGGGUGAAAGCAGGGGAUCUUCGGACCUUGCGCUAUGAGAGGCUUCGGUGUCGGAUUAGCUAGUUGGCGGGGUAAAGGCCCACCAAGGCGACGAUGGGUAGCUGGCCUGAGAGGGUGAAAGGCAAGAAGGGGACUGAGACACGGCCCUAACGCCUACGGGAGGCAGCAGUGUGGAAUAUUGGACAAUGGAGCAAGAAUCUGAUACAGAAAUUCUGUGUGAACGAUGAAGUUGUUCGGAAUGAAAAGUGCUUUCAGUUGGGAAGAAGAAAAUGACGGUACCAAAAGAAGAAGUGACGGCUAAAUACGUG